GAUGAACGCUGGCGGCGUGCCUAAUACAUGCAAGUCGAGCGAACGGACGAGACGCUUGCUUCUCUGAUGUUAGCGGCGGACGGGUGAGUCACACGUGGAUAACCCACCUAUAAGACUGGGAUAAUUUCGGGAAACCGGAGCUAAUACCGGAUAAUAUUUUGAACCGCAUGGUUCAAAAGUGAAAUACGGUCUUGCUGUCACUUAUAGAUGGAUCCGCGCUGCAUUAGCUAGUUGGUAAGGUCACGGCUUACCAAGGCAACGAUGCAUAGCCGACGUGAGAGACGGAUAGCCGGCAUGGGAAGUGGGCCACGGUCCAGGGUACUAAGAGAGGGAGCAGUAGGCAAUGGGAGGCAGUGGGCGAGAGCAUGGCGGAACAAGGCGACGUGAGUGGUGAAGGUGUUCGGAUCGGAAUGCUGUGUUAUGGGGGAAGAACAUAUGUGGAAGGAACUGAGGACAUAUUGACGGUAAUUGAUCAAAAAGCCACGGCUAACUACGUG
rnacentral:rRNA from 1 species